UACAGAGGGGGCAAGCGUUGUUCGGAAUUACUGGGCGUAAAGGGCGCGUAGGCGGCCCGCUAAGUCGAACGUGAAAUCCCCGGGCUCAACCCGGGAACUGCGUCCGAUACUGGCAGGCUUGAAUCCGGGAGAGGGAUGCGGAAUUCCAGGUGUAGCGGUGAAAUGCGUAGAUAUCUGGAGGAACACCGGUGGCGAAGGCGGCAUCCUGGACCGAUAUUGACGCUGAGGCGCGAAAGCCAGGGGAGCAAACGGG
rnacentral:rRNA from 1 species